CCCGGCCCGCCCGCAGCCGCCUUCCCCUCACCGCCCGGCUUCGGCAAAUGGAGGCGGCUUUGAGCCCCCUCGCCUCGCCUCGCCUCGCCUCACCUUCUGCGAGGAGAAGGACUGCGUCCAGUGCAGGUAUUUUCACCGUGAAUGUCAAGAACAAUGGCGUGCUAUCAGGAGCAAAAAAACGUUACCGGAACACAGCUCCCAAAUCGGAUCCCAGGGGUAUAUAUACUCCAUUGCUAAAUGCACCUCACUUGUAGCCAUAGCACGAAGAAGUAAAAAUGCAGAAUAAUA